UCCUUCCCAGGGUGGCACCUGGGGAGUUUCCAGUACUCUACCAGUCUCGGCUAUGGGAGGGAAAGUCAAGCAGAGGCCUAUCCAUUCCAAUUCCUAGCUUGGACAGUGGCUAGUGAGUGGAAGAAAAUCUGCUACAAGU